CCCNGCAUUUCCAAACUUCUUUGAGCCUA
rnacentral:piRNA from 1 species